rnacentral:rRNA from 1 species
AGCGAACGCUGGCGGCAGGCCUAACACAUGCAAGUCGAACGAACCUUUCGGGGUUAGUGGUGGACGGGGGAGUAACACGUGGGAACGUGCCUUUAGGUUCGGAAUAACUCAGGGAAACUUGUGCUAAUACCGAAUGUGCCCUUCGGGGGAAAGAGUUAUCGCCUUUAGAGCGGCCCGCGUCUGAUUAGCUAGUUGGUUGAGGUAAUGGCUCACCAAGGCGACGAUCAGUAGCUGGUCUGAGAGGCUGAUCAGCCACAUUGGGACUGAGACACGGCCCAAACUCCUACGGGAGGCAGCAGUGGGGAAUCUUGCGCAAUGGGGGAAGGCCUGACGCAGCCAUGCCGGGUGAAUGAUGAAGGUCGUAGGAUUGUAAAAUUCUUUAACCGGGGACGAUAAUGACGGUACCCGGAGAAGAAGCCCCGGCUAACUUCGUG